UCCUCGUUAGUAUAGUGGUCAGUAUCCCCGCCUGUCACGCGGGAGACCGAGGUUCGAUUCCCCGACGGGGAG
rnacentral:tRNA from 1 species